GACGAACGCUGUCGGCGUGCUUAACACAUGCAAGUCGAACGGAAAGGCCCUGCUUUUGUGGGGUGCUCGAGUGGCGAACGGGUGAGUAACACGUGAGUAACCUGCCCUUGACUUUGGGAUAACUUCAGGAAACUGGGGCUAAUACCGGAUAGGAGCUCCUGCUGCAUGGUGGGGGUUGGAAAGUUUCGGCGGUUGGGGAUGGACUCGCGGCUUAUCAGCUUGUUGGUGGGGUAGUGGCUUACCAAGGCUUUGACGGGUAGCCGGCCUGAGAGGGUGACCGGCCACAUUGGGACUGAGAUACGGCCCAGACUCCUACGGGAGGCAGCAGUGGGGAAUAUUGCACAAUGGGCGGAAGCCUGAUGCAGCAACGCCGCGUGCGGGAUGACGGCCUUCGGGUUGUAAACCGCUUUCGCCUGUGACGAAGCGUGAGUGACGGUAAUGGGUAAAGAAGCACCGGCUAACUACGUGCCAGCAGCCGCGGUGAUACGUAGGGUGCGAGCGUUGUCCGGAUUUAUUGGGCGUAAAGGGCUCGUAGGUGGUUGAUCGCGUCGGAAGUGUAAUCUUGGGGCUUAACCCUGAGCGUGCUUUCGAUACGGGUUGACUUGAGGAAGGUAGGGGGAGAAUGGAAUUCCUGGUGGAGCGGUGGAAUGCGCAGAUAUCAGGAGGAACACCAGUGGCGAAGGCGGUUCUCUGGGCCUUUCCUGACGCUGAGGAGCGAAAGCGUGGGGAGCGAACAGGCUUAGAUACCCUGGUAGUCCACGCUGUAAACGGUGGGUACUAGGUGUGGGGUCCAUUCCACGGGUUCCGUGCCGUAGCUAACGCUUUAAGUACCCCGCCUGGGGAGUACGGCCGCAAGGCUAAAACUCAAAGGAAUUGACGGGGCCCCGCACAAGCGGCGGAGCAUGCGGAUUAAUUCGAUGCAACGCGUAGAACCUUACCUGGGUUUGACAUGGAUCGGGAGUGCUCAGAGAUGGGUGUGCCUCUUUUGGGGUCGGUUCACAGGUGGUGCAUGCCUGUCGUCAGCUCGUGUCGUGAGAUGUUGGGUUAAGUCCCGCAACGAGCGCAACCCUUGUUCACUGUUGCCAGCACGUUAUGGUGGGGACUCAGUGGAGACCGCCGGGGUCAACUCGGAGGAAGGUGGGGAUGACGUCAAGUCAUCAUGCCCCUUAUGUCCAGGGCUUCACGCAUGCUACAAUGGCUGGUACAGAGAGUGGCGAGCCUGUGAGGGUGAGCGAAUCUCGGAAAGCCGGUCUCAGUUCGGAUUGGGGUCUGCAACUCGACCUCAUGAAGUCGGAGUCGCUAGUAAUCGCAGAUCAGCAACGCUGCGGUGAAUACGUUCCCGGG
rnacentral:rRNA from 1 species